rnacentral:rRNA from 1 species
UACGUAGGGAGCGAGCGUUGUCCGGAGUUACUGGGCGUAAAGCGCACGCAGGCGGUCUAUCGCGUUCGUGCCGACAGCGACUCGCCUAACGAGUCGAGGAGUACGGAAACGGGUAGACUUGAGGGCCAGAGAGGGACACGGAACUCCGGGUGGAGUGGUGAAAUGCGUAGAGAUCCGGAAGAACACCAAAGGCGAAGGCAGUGUCCUGGUUGGUACCUGACGCUCAGAGGCGACAGCUAGGGGAGCGAACGGG